CCCGCCGACGGUCUCGCGCUCUGAUUUCCUCACCGUAUGAAAUGAAAUUCCACAGGGGGAUUCGAAAGGAAAUGAGACCGGGACUCUCCGUGCUUCUCGGCCCGCCGCCCUUCCUGUCUCGGGGACACGGUUUCUAAAUAAGAAACUGAUGCUCUGAGAGGCCAAGCAGUUUGCCCAAGAUUACACAGUCAUAGCCGUGCCUGGGAGAACCUUCUCUUCAACUCUGCCGCACCACUGUCAAGCUCACCUUUCUUCUAAGGUUUUAUUUUAGAGUUAACAUCCUCCAAAAAGCCUUCCUCAGGAGUUGAAGGUGCCCCUAAUAUCACAGCCAUGGCAUCCUGUACACUGGACCUUAUUGUCUGUCUGCCUGUUGUACCUUGUAUGAGUCUAUAAGCAAAACCUAUAAGAAGCCACAUCUGGCUAUUCUAUGUACUCAAAAAAUAAUUGGCAAGUGAAAGAAUGAGGAAAAGGAGAAAAAAUUCAGAAGGCCCCUACCCCUUCCAAUGGGUCAAGUCAGGAAUUUCCUACCUGCAUGUGAUUCCCUGUGUCCUAGAGGGUUUUAUUUACUCCUCAGACCUUGGAAACUGUUAACCAGAGUCUCUGUUUGGAGAUCUUAUCUGUGUGCUUCUCCAUGGGUGUUGUUUCCCUGUCUCUGCAGCCAUGCAUUCCUCAGCUCUUUAAGUGGUGGAGCCUGUCUGCCUGGAUAGAGUGCAAAAGCUACAGUGUAAUCUUGCUUUCUUUCAGGGCCACUGACCAGAGGAAAUAAAAACUGGACUGAUUGGGCUCUCCUGAUGUAGACCAGCCAGUGGCCCUCUAAGUUUCCUUCUAUGUUUAAAAUUCCUUAUCUGACAUUGCUAGCUGAUCAGCAGGCCCACAGGUCAGCUGAGGGCUUAUCUCCAGGGCUGGAGCUUCAAAGAGAUACAUGCACACGACUCCCCUGGGUCAGAUGGGCUGUGUCACAGUGAGUUGGGGAUAAUUUGGGAUCAGUCAACAUAACACACAUAACACAACCCAUUAAUUUUUUUUUUCAAAAAGCGAAGUUUAUUUUACUUUUUCCCAUUAUGAAAGUCAUCAAUGCUCAUUAUAGAAAAUUUGGCAAAUAACAAAAAGUGGAAAGAAAAAAAUUCCUUAAUAAUUUAGUAUAUUUGAUAUAUUCAUCCUUAAUCCUUAAUCUUUUACUAUGUUAUAUCUUUAAUAGUUGUGAUGAUAUACUUUUUGUAAUAAAUAUAUAUUUGUGUUGUGGCUUUUUUAAAAUUUAAAAACAUAACAAAUAUUUCCCCAAAUUUCUAUAUUGUUUGGGUAAACAAUUUUAAUAGCUGCAUAAUUGUUUAUAUAUAGCAUAGUUUAUUUAACUGUUUACUCGCUG
rnacentral:lncRNA from 1 species